GACGAACGCUGGCGGCGUGCCUAAUACAUGCAAGUCGAACGCUGAAGGAGGAGCUUGCUUCUCUGGAUGAGUUGCGAACGGGUGAGUAACGCGUAGGUAACCUGCCUGGUAGCGGGAGAUAACUAUUGGAAACGAUAGCUAAUACCGCAUAAGAGUAGAUGUUGCAUGACAUUUGCUUAAAAGUUGCAAUUGCAUCACUACCAGAUGGACCUGCGGUGUAUUAGGUAGUUGGUGGGGUAACGGCUCACCAAGGCGACGAUACAUAGCCGACCGGAGAGGGUGAUCAGCCACACUGGGAGUGAGACACGGCACAGACGCACACGGGAAGGAGCAGGAGGGAAUCUUCGGGAAGGGACGGAAGACUGAGCGAGAAACGCCGAGGGAGGGAAGAAGGAUGUCGGAUCGUAAAGGUCGGUUGUAAGAGAAGAACGAGUGUGAGAGUGGAAAGUUCACAGUGUGACGGUAACUUACCAGAAAGGGACGGCUAACUACGUG
rnacentral:rRNA from 1 species